rnacentral:rRNA from 1 species
UGGGGAAUAUUGGACAAUGGGCGCAAGCCUGAUCCAGCCAUGCCGCGUGGGUGAUGAAGGCCUUAGGGUUGUAAAGCCCUUUCGGCGGGGAAGAUAAUGACGGUACCCGCAGAAGAGGCCCCGGCUAACUUCGUGCCAGCAGCCGCGGUAAUACGAAGGGGGCUAGCGUUGCUCGGAAUUACUGGGCGUAAAGCGCACGUAGGCGGCUUGUUAAGUCGGGGGUGAAAUCCCGGAGCUCAACUCCGGAACUGCCUUCGAUACUGGCAAGCUCGAGUCCGGGAGAGGUGAGUGGAACUGCGAGUGUAGAGGUGAAAUUCGUAGAUAUUCGCAAGAACACCAGUGGCGAAGGCGGCUCACUGGCCCCGUACUGACGCUGAGGUGCGAAAGCGUGGGGAGCAAACA